rnacentral:misc_RNA from 1 species
AAGUCGUAACAAGGUUUCCGUAGGUGAACCUGCGGAAGGAUCAUUAACACGUAUCUAACGUUAAAUCCCCCGUGCACGUUGACGUUUACAGCCGCUGAGCCGAAAUUGCACUUGGGGGAAGAGCCGGAAGAAGUUUUCGGUGACCUGGACCAGCACAAUCUUUCAAUGGCAAGCAAUCGGGUUAUGGUUUGAGACAGGUGGGUUCUAUCCAAGAUCGCAAGAUCACUUAAUUGAAGUCUUAAUGACCCAAAAACAUAUGACAUCAACAUGGUUAGAACUGGGGAAACCUGGGCCAUGAAACGUAACCCGAACAACUGUUAACAAUGGAUAUCUUGGUUCUC